CCCCGAUAGUUAAUUCAAACACUUAGGUCGUGACCCUAACAACAGAGACACCCUCUUCUGGGCU
rnacentral:tRNA from 1 species